CGGCCGCGGGAUUCGAUUAGAGUUUGAUCCUGGCUCAGAUUGAACGCUGGCGGCGUGCUUAACACAUGCAAGUCGAUCGGUAACGCGGGGGCAACCCUGGCGACGAGAGGCGGACGGGUGAGGAACGCUUGGGAAUCUGCCCUUCAGCGGGGGACAACCCGGGGAAACUCGGGCUAAUACCGCAUACGCUCUAUGGAGGAAAGCCGGGGACCGCAAGGCCUGGCACUGAAGGAUGAGCCCAAGUCGGAUUAGCUAGUUGGCGGGGUAACGGCCCACCAAGGCUACGAUCCGUAGCUGGUCUGAGAGGACGAUCAGCCACACCGGAACUGAGACACGGUCCGGACUCCUACGGGAGGCAGCAGUGGGGAAUAUUGGACAAUGGGGGAAACCCUGAUCCAGCGACGCCGCGUGGGUGAAGAAGGCCUGCGGGUUGUAAAGCUCUGUGGGGAGGGACGAACCGCAGCUGGUUCAUAGCCAGCAGCAUGACGGUACCUCCUUAGCAAGCACCGGCUAACUUCGUGCCAGCAGCCCCGGUCA
rnacentral:rRNA from 1 species